UGGACUACUCAAGAAGUAAAGGUUUAUGAACAAUAAAAAUAUACUUAGAAUAAAAAGGAACACAGAUUUGGGGGAAUAUCUGAACAAAUACGAUAGGAAAGGGUGCUCAUUAGAUUUUUAAGAAAAAAAAACCAAACAAACCUGAAGACACUGGUGUAAGUUCAUGGAAAAGAACACUUGAACAGACAGUUGAUACAGCAAGGGCUACCAGCUAGUGAAUAAAACUGAUGGAGAACGGUCGAAAUGGGGCUUUGCAAAGAGGUACAAAUUAAGUGAUGGGACAGUAUCUUACACCUUUUGCAUUUGCAAAAAUUUAAGAAAAUAAAAAGUCUCUGUGUUGGGGAGAAAGUGGUAAAACGGAUGUAUUUGUAUGCUGCUUGUGGCUGCUGAAGUUAUUCUGAUUUAAAAAGCAAAUUUGAUAAAAUAAUCAAGAAUCAUCACAAUGUUUAUUCCCUCUGAUUUAAUAAUCAUCUCCCAAAAAUUCAUUUGAGGAAAAAAAAUCCAAAGGAAAAAUUGACCUCCUUCCACCACUAAAUCUUUAAAGUGGAGAAGAAGUCUUCAUAGUGAAUUUGUGAACAUUUAAAAGUAUAGUAUUAGGAGUUCCCAUCAUGGCUCCAUGGUUAAUGAACCAGACUAGCAUCCAUGGAUUCAAUCCCUGGUCUCACUCAGUGGGUUAAGGAUCUGGUGUUGCCGUGAGCUGUGGUGUAAGUUGCAGAUGUGGCUCGGAUCCUGGGUUGAAUCGGAGCUGUAGCCGCCGGCCUACGCCAGAGCCACAGCAACGCGGGAUCCGAGCCGCGUCUGCAACCUAUACCACAGCUCACGGCAACGCCGGAUCGUUAACCCACUGAGCAAGGCCAGGGAUCGAACCUGCAACCUCAUGGUUCCUAGUCAGAUUCGCUAACCACUGCGCCACGACGGGAACUCCUCGUGUGUACAUUUUGUCUUCCCCAAAUAGAUGGCAAACUGCUGGCGCUGGGUGUCCUACUCUCUCGCAAAUACCAGGAGGACAUCAAAGAAUACAUGUGGUACUUUGUGAGUUGAACUGAAUUCAUCCUUCCUCUUUACUUCUUUCCCUUCCUUCUUUCGAGCUAUAUUUUUUGAGCAUCUACCGUGUUUCCGUCAUUGUUCUAAUCAACAAAACAGACUAAAGUUCCUGCCUUCGUGGAGCUUUCUAUUCUUGUCCAGAUCUGUGUUUUUCUAGUUGUGCGUGUCCUCAACCAAAGCGCUCCUCCCUCUGGGACUGAGUGUGCCGUUCUGGGUACACUAAGGGUUUCACAAACGUUUCCAUUUCUCCUGUUGCUUUUUCUUUAGCCAUCCUCUCCACCUUAGUUGUUUUCUUGGUCACGUCACAUGUUCCCACCAUUCAAAACCUUGAGUAGUGGAAGAACAAAAACAAGGAUGUCCUUUUAAUUAAUUAAUUAAUAUUGACUGCACCAGCAGCUCAAGGAGAUUCCAGGCCAGGGAUGGAACCCGUGCCACAGCAGUGACAAUGCCAGAUCCUUAACGUGCUGAAGCCACCAGGGAGCUCCAGGAUGUCCUUUUAAAAAUAACUCCUCUGGAGUUGUCUUGUGGCGCAGUGGGUUAAGGAUCCAGUGUUGUCACUGCAGCCACUUGGGUCACUGCUGUGACUUGGGUUUUGGACCGCUGGGCCAGGAAUUUCCAAAAAAAGAAAAAAAGAAAGAACUCAUCUUUGGGUAUUUUUAUAGAUAUAUAUGCCUGGAUCAUUCUUUUCUUUUUUUUCUGUUACAGACUUUUUUUAGCCCAAAUACAGUGACUAUUUGAUUUCCACCUUGAAUGCCUCGUGCACAAUGAGCUUUUAUUCAGUUUUGCUAGUAUUAGUUUGUAUUUUCUCCCAUUACGCAUCAACCUUCUUUUGUUUAUUGCCUUUGGUCCUCUGUCCAACUCAGCUCCCAGAGUCAUAGCCUUGAAUUCCCAAGCUGCAGGAGAUUGCUUGUUUAACCAUGAUCAAUCCUCAGGAGAAAAUUGGGUCUUUUUUUUCUCCUAUAACUUCAUUUGUUUAAAUCUUGACUGCUUAUAGUAAAUAUCCUCUCAAAGAUAAUUUCAUUUCUAAAUAAUUUGGUAUCUGAUUUGAUGCAGCUUGAGUGUUUAUUUUGGGGGUAUCGUUUUUCUUUUAUAGUGAGUUUCCCGCAAUAGCUUUGUUUAAAGUUGUUACAUCUUGUGCCUGGCUACCAGCAGGAUUGUGGUUAGCUUUCCUGGAGUACUAUUAGUUUACUAAUAGUAAUUAGCACUCAAGAAACUUCUUUGUUGGCAGUAGCGUUUGGUUUCCACACACACACACACACACACACACAACCCACCCAAUUUAAAAAGGUAAUUCUUUGAGUUCCCAUUUUGGUGCUGCGGAAACGAAUCUGACUAGGAACCAUGAGGUUGCGGGUUCGAUCCCUGGCCUCUCUCAGUGGGUUAAGGAUCCAGCGUUGCCAUGAGCUGUGGUGUAGGUCGCAGAUGUAGCUCAGAUCUGGCGUUGCUGUGGCUCUGGUGUAGGCUGGCAGCUACAGCUCUGAUUAAACCCCUAGCCUGGGAACCUCCAUAUGUCACAGCUGCGGCCCUAAAAA
ensembl:lncRNA